rnacentral:misc_RNA from 1 species
UACGUAGGGUGCGAGCGUUGUCCGGAAUUAUUGGGCGUAAAGGGCUCGUAGGCGGUUUGUCGCGUCGGGAGUGAAAACACUGGGCUUAACUCAGUGCUUGCUUCCGAUACGGGCAGACUAGAGGUAUUCAGGGGAGAACGGAAUUCCUGGUGUAGCGGUGAAAUGCGCAGAUAUCAGGAGGAACACCGGUGGCGAAGGCGGUUCUCUGGGAAUUACCUGACGCUGAGGAGCGAAAGUGUGGGGAGCGAACAGG